ensembl:snRNA U6 U6 spliceosomal RNA
GUGCUUGCUUCAGCAGCACAUAUACUAAAAUUGGAAUGAUACAGAGAAGAUUAGCAUGGCCCCUGCACAAGGAUGACACACAAAUCUGUGAAACAUUUCAUAUUUUU